rnacentral:rRNA from 1 species
CAACGAAUAUUCCGCAAUGGACGCAAGUCUGACGGAGCGACGCCGCGUGCAGGAUGAAGUCCCUCGGGAUGUAAACUGCUGUCAGGGGUGAGGAAAUCAUUGACCAACCCCAGAGGAAGCAUCGGCUAACUCCGUGCCAGCAGCCGCGGUAAUACGGAGGAUGCAAGCGUUGUUCGGAAUCACUGGGCUUAAAGAGCGUGUAGGUGGAAUAUCAGGCGUCGGGUGAAAUCCCUCGGCUCAACCGAGGAAC